rnacentral:tRNA from 2 species
GGCAUAGCUCAACUGGUAGAGCAGCUGACUUGUAAUCAGCAGGUUGUGGGUUCAAGUCCUAUUGCC